AUGGGUCCGCUGGCAAUUCGAUAUGCGAGUAUGUCUAUGUCGCUGCCAACUCUGGAGGUCCUUGGUCACUUCUGCAGGUGUGACCAUGAGUUCUGCUACUCCUGCCACGUGAGUACAACAACUGCGAACAAGCAUGCUAGUGCGUCUUCUGGGACGAAGACAGUGCCGAGCUCUCGACAGCGCAGUCCUGCCAAGCCUUCGAGAUCUGGGUAUGGGACACCUUCGACUGCAUGCCCCACCGACGGCUACUCAGAGAAGGAGCGGGUGCAGGUGUCACUCAUCCAGCGGUUCCUCGCAGGGGGGUUUAGCCUGAGCGGCGAACAUCACAACCUGACCCAGCAGUCGUUGCCGUCAUGCUGCGCGGUGGACUCGUACAUCGUUGACACCAUGAAGGAUCUCCAUCAGCUGCAACGACGACUACAUACAGUGAAUGAUGAGGAUGUUAAAGAAUAUCGAGUCAUAGAUAUAGCAUUAGAAAGGAGAUACGGAUGGCGCAUAUACUGA
rnacentral:rRNA from 1 species